GAUGAACGCUGGCGGCGUGCCUAAUACAUGCAAGUCGAGCGAACAGACGAGGAGCUUGCUUCUCUGACGUUAGCGGCGGACGGGUGAGUAACACGUGGAUAACCUACCUAUAAGACUGGGAUAACUUCGGGAAACCGGAGCUAAUACCGGAUAAUAUUUUGAACCGCAUGGUUCAAUAGUGAAAGACGGUUUUGCUGUCACUUAUAGAUGGAUCCGCGCCGCAUUAGCUAGUUGGUAAGGUAACGGCUUACCAAGGCAACGAUGCGUAGCCGACCUGAGAGGGUGAUCGGCCACACUGGAACUGAGACACGGUCCAGACUCCUACGGGAGGCAGCAGUAGGGAAUCUUCCGCAAUGGGCGAAAGCCUGACGGAGCAACGCCGCGUGAGUGAUGAAGGUCUUCGGAUCGUAAAACUCUGUUAUUAGGGAAGAACAAAUGUGUAAGUAACUAUGCACAUCUUGACGGUACCUAAUCAGAAAGCCACGGCUAACUACGUG
rnacentral:rRNA from 1 species